rnacentral:rRNA from 1 species
UACGUAGGGAGCAAGCGUUGUCCGGAAUCAUUGGGCGUAAAGAGCUCGUAGGCGGCUUGGUAAGUCGGAUGUGAAACCUCCAGGCUCAACCUGGAGUCGCCAUCCGAUACUGCCAUGCUAGAGUCCGGUAGGGGCCCACGGAACUCCUGGUGUGAGCGGUGAAAUGCGCAGAUAUACAGGAAGAACACCGGUGGCGAAGGCGGUGGGCUGGGCCGGCACUGACGGCUGAGGAGCGAAAGCGUGGGGAGCGA